rnacentral:rRNA from 1 species
GACGAACGCUGGCGGCGUGCUUAACACAUGCAAGUCGAACGAAGUGGCGAACGGGUGAGUAACGCGUAAUCAACCUGCCCUUCAGAGGGGGACAACAGUUGGAAACGACUGCUAAUACCGCAUACUGAAGGAGGGGAUUGCGUCUGAGUAGCUAGUUGGAGGGGUAACGGCCCAACAAGGCGAUGAUCAGUAGCCGUGCUGAUGGACGGGACGGCCACAUUGAGACUGAGACACGGCCCAGACUCCGACGGGAGGCAGCAGUGGGGAAUCGUCCGCAAUUGACGAAAGUCUGACGGGGCAACGCCGCGUGAGUGAUGACGGCCUUCGGGUUGUAAAGCGCUGUUAAUCGGGACGCGGUACCGGAAUAGAAAGCCACGGCUAACUACGUGCCAGCAGCCGCGGUAAUUC